ACCUGGCUUACCUGGAUUCACAAAGAGUUCGUCAGAGUUGUCAGUAAGGGAGUCUUGAGAGUCCUAUCAUGGAUUCUUUGAAGUGAAAUACAAGCCCCAUGCCUUAUUAUUGACCCUUUUCAUUGCUGCUGGGAGGUGGGACUGUGGUGAAGACAGAGCAAAAGCAAGCCAGAGAAACAUGAGGAAAAGCAGGAAGGAACCAUAUCUCUAUGAGAAAAGUCUGUGGGGAAACAUCUGGACUGAUGCAGAUUUCAUGCACAACUAGCAUACUUAAUUCAACUUACUAAUAUUUUACCCAGGCCACUGUCCCUCAACAUCAUACCAGCUCACUGCAUAUGAGAGUCAGAAGACCAGGAGUGAAGCAAGAAGCUAUGAGCCAGAGGAUGCAUUCAGUCCCCUGGGCCUGGAGUUACUUGUGGUUGUGUGCCACCGUGUGCAUGUUGGGAACUGAAGGCUGGUCCUCUGCAAGAGCAACAAGUGCUCUGAACCUCUGAGCCAUCUCUCCAAUCCCCGCUCCCCCCGUGUUAUUCUUGAGAGUCAAUGGCAUGAAUAAAGAAGUGAAAGUGAGGCUGGUGGCUGGAAAAGGUUGCGGGUGGGUCACUGUUGGGUAGAUAGUAAAGACCUAAGGUGAUAAAGAAAAUGAAUCAAACUAUUGACUCUUAGGAUGUUGUCCUUAGUGGAUUUAUUCAUCAGCGUUGUAGUGCUGGGAUUCAUGCUGUUAAAGUGGGCAGAGGGCUUCAGCUUGUUUCUGGCUCUGUAUUACUGUCUUUGCAUAGCAAUGACCUCAUGCACUUAUGUCGUGGGUUUUAUAUUACAAUUUUGUUAAAAGUUCAUUCUUUUUCUCUAAUAUGAGUUAUCUUGAGGAUUUGGGAGAAUAAACUAAUGAAACCAAUCCGUAUCUUCCAGGUUUCACUGACCUUGUCGUGUUUUGUUUUCUGAGAAGCAUUGAAGCAUAUAUAUAUAACUAACUGGACUAUUUUAUUUUAUUUUACUUUUUUGGUCUAAGCUGUGAUUUUUUUUUCCUUUGACAUUUUAUUUGCAGUCAAAUGCAAAGUAAUACAAAUACAGAAUUUUUCUUCCAGUAGGUUUUAAGCUUAGCCUAACAAUAUAACAGAAACUUUUUCUUUUGCCUACGGCUCUACAACUGGCAGGGGCAAAGGUUCCAAGCUCAUAGGGGAUGGAAGGCUCUGGGACACGUGGAACACUGAGGUUGAUCAGAAGGACAAUCAAGCCAUUAAAAAACAAAGGGGAAAGAGCAGCUCCUGUCUACUUCACAUUCUGACUCUAGCACAGGGACUCCCUAACGAGAGAAAAACCAGCCUGUGGCCCAGAAUGAGCUCUAAACAUUUCAUGUGAAAAUCUGAGCUGGAAUUGAACUGUACAAGAAUCCAUUCAAAUAGGAUUGCUCUUUGAGAAAAUGCUUCAGUGGAAGGCAUCUCCCUGGUAUUCUGAAAAAAACACUCUAACCAGGAAGGAGGACACUUGUGCUUCAAGUAAUAAGAGCUUGUUUUCCCAAGUCAUUGUGGCUUCUAAAAGAUUUCCUUCUCAUUUUGGCAAGGACUACUGGAGGAAAUGGAAAUAACAAUAGCAAUUUGUUGUUGUUGCUGCUGUCUUGAGACAGGAUCUUGUAGCUUGGGCUGGCCUCCAACUUGUGUAGUCAAAGGUGACCUUCAUGACUGCUCAUCUGCCUCCACCUCACAAGAGCUGGAAUGACAGCCUGAGAGACAGUGCUACUCUGCUGGCUCAAAAGAGACAGUUUUCAAGGCAACAACUUCAUGGUUGGGAUCCCUAAAGCCUCAAACAUCCAAUGAAAAAAUAUCUGCCCCCUUUACAAAGACAUGUACCCAAGGACUUCACAUCCAAUUUAGGAGGUUAGUGUGUCUCUUGGGAUGCUAUGAAUUUCUCCAGAGAGGACCAUGAAAUCCCAUGUUUAAAAGUUCUGCUUACUGGAGUAUCUGUUAUUGACUAUAUCCUAGUGUAGCUCUGACUGUUCAGUGCAGAAAAGGGGCGGGUGGAUGGAAGGAAAUAAACCUAGAAGAACAACCAAGCCCUGCUUAAAUGUGUAGUAGUUGUCACACCUGUAAAGAGUUUUGAUAGCCAACUUUAGCCUGAUGGAACACAAGCCCUGAGGGGCGAAAAAAAAAAACACUAUAACAAUGUAAAAAACAUUCUGUGUAAUGAAGUGAAAACACUUCAAAAUCUUCUAGCACAAAAACACACACUUAGGAUUUUGUUUGCUUUUUAAUGAUGCUCUAAAGUUAUUUUAUUAUAUCUUAAUGAGACAAAGAGUUCUGCGUAUAGAAUGCAAAAUUUCUGUUCAAAAACUUUGUAUGGGAUAAACCCAUGGUUUCUAUCUGGAGGAAAGAAACUCAGCCCUGGUCAGUUUGUGUGGACCUAUCACUACUGCCCCUGCUGGGAGCACUCUUAAGUGGCAGGGAUAGAGAAAUUGUCCAAAUUGAGAGCACGAGAGAUACAGCUUCAGUUGUAGAAAUAGGAAUGUGUAAAAAUACAAAACAAAACAUCUCCCCCAACCAAACCAAAACAACUUCAACAACAAAAACAAACAAACAAACCAUAGCAGCCUGAAUGUAUAGAAAGCUGUUCUUUUUUUUCUCCUUUCUACACGGAAUCUGGCCUUUGUUGAUAUCUUAAGGCUCUCCAUCUUUGCCAAAAUGUAACCGUGCCAGUGGUUUAUAUACCUUUGG